rnacentral:lncRNA from 1 species
CAUACCUGAAACCGGUGACUACUGUUUCUGUGGACUUGUUGGGAGUUGAUGAAGGAUUGGAGGUGGAGGACCCAUGAUUGCCAAGAAAAUUAGGUGCUGGACAGCAGUCAUGUAAGCAGGUCUCUGAGGCUUCUCUAAUGCAAGGUGAGAGCAUUUUACCUCUUUUUCCUUCCUUGCCCUUAUUUGCUUCUGGUGAUUGUUUUAUUUCUGCUUGGUUCUUCACAUUCAUUUCAUUGGGUAUUUCUCAGUGUAUAAAUGGGAAAAAGUCUUGCUGAUUUUGUCGGCUGUGGAGGCACCUUGUCUAAGAAGGCACUCAGUGGACUGCACUCAAUUGACGUUGUCUUCCAUGAUUUCACUUUUGCUGCUUAGAACUUAUGGCAGAGUAAGACUUUCUCUUAUCUUGUCACACCUAUUUUGAUCACCUAUAAAGUUGCAAUAUAUGGUUUGAGAUGGUAGGGUUGAAUCUCAAAUUCAAAGAAUAUAAUAGCAAUUCAAUUCAAUCCAACAUGACAUCUUUGUAGCUCACUUUUUGAAGUUGGAAGAUAUUUUAAAUUCGAAUUUUCUCACCCCCACAAAUAAAAUAGCAUAAUUAGACAUCGUUCAUAAAAUUUAAACUUAUGAUCUAUUUUCAAUAAAAUAAAAACUAAAGGCUUGUUUGGAAGUGAUUUUGGGAGGACCAAAUACUUCUCCGUAGAAGUGAAUAUUAGAAAAUUUAAAAUUAAUUUCAAACGAACCCUAACUAUCAUUAGACUAAAUGCAUGAUUGAGUGACCGUCACAAUCUGGUUACACCUUUUUUUUUCUUCUUUCCAUAAUGAGCCUAAAGUUUGGGUCCCUCCUAACAAAGAAUGAAGUGGCUGUGGUGGUUCCCUAAGAGAUAACGGAUAUCCUGGCAUCCAUCAACCUUCUAUCCUUUGAGAUUCUGAAAAUCGAACGCAAACAAGCAGAAAAGGGCAAGGGAAGAUUAGCUUUGUGAUUGUGGCUGGCACUGUUUGCAGCCGGAAGCUGCUUUGAAUCAUUCAGAGUCAGAGCCACCUAAUAGCUUAUCAAUACAUUGUAACCAACACCACUACUACUAGUUGUUGUACCUCUUAAAUUGAGUGAUAUUUUUCCAAUUUGUGCCAUGGCAUGCAAUCCAAUGAUGCAAGUCAUUUUCAAGUGUUCCCACCAGCUUGUCAAAUUGUCUUCAGUUCCCAUCAAUAGAAG